AUGACCACCAAAUUGUGAAAGAAGGUUGUGUCCUGGAUCUGAUGCACCAUGGUAGAUUGGAGAGAGUAACAAUCUGCGUAGGAAAAUUGGAUGGCGUUGGCAUGGAGUCGUGGAGGCUGGCUAAGUUGGAAUUCAUGAUGAGCUACAACUUCGAUGAGCUUAGUUAUUUUGGAUACCUAUGGUUGGGAACUGAAUUAACCAAAGUAAGGCCUUGUUUAGUUCACCCCAACUAGCUUUCGCCAC
rnacentral:lncRNA from 1 species